AGCGAACGCUGGCGGCAGGCCUAACACAUGCAAGUCGAACGAAGUCUUCGGACUUAGUGGCGGACGGGUGAGUAACACGGGGGAACGUACCCUUAGGUCCGGAAUAACAGUUAGAAAUGACUGCUAAUACCGGAUGAUGACGUUAAGUCCAAAGAUUUAUCGCCUGAGGAUGAGCCCGCGUAGGAUUAGCUAGUUGGUGUGGUAAAGGCGCACCAAGGCGACGAUCCUUAGCUGGUCUGAGAGGAUGAUCAGCCACACUGGGACUGAGACACGGCCCAGACUCCUACGGGAGGCAGCAGUGGGGAAUAUUGGACAAUGGGCGCAAGCCUGAUCCAGCAAUGCCGCGUGAGUGAUGAAGGCCUUAGGGUUGUAAAGCUCUUUUACCCGUGAUGAUAAUGACAGUAGCGGGAGAAUAAGCCCCGGCUAACUCCGUGCCAGCCGCCGCGGUAAGAC
rnacentral:rRNA from 1 species